rnacentral:rRNA from 1 species
GACGAACGCUGGCGGCGUGCUUAACACAUGCAAGUCGAGCGGUAAGGCCCUUUCGGGGGUACACGAGCGGCGAACGGGUGAGUAACACGUGAGCAACCUGCCCUUCUCUUUGGAAUAAGCGUUGGAAACGACGUCUAAUGCCGAAUAUGACCUCCCGCUGCAUGGUGGGGGGUGGAAAGCUCUGGCGGAGAAGGAUGGGCUCGCGGCCUAUCAGCUUGUUGGUGUGGGUAAUGGCCCACCAAGGCGACGACGGGUAGCCGGCCUGAGAGGGUGACCGGCCAAACUGGGACUGGGACACGGCCCAGACUCCUACGGGAGGCAGCAGUGGGGAAUAUUGGACAAUGGGCGAAAGCCUGAUCCAGCAACGCCGCGUGAGGGAUGACGGCCUUCGGGUUGUAAACCUCUUUCAGCAGGGACGAAGCGAGAGUGACGGUACCUGCAGAAGAAGGACCGGCCAACUACGUGCCAGCAGCCGCCGCCGUAA